UUCUUUUUGCAUUGAUGGGGAUUGAACCCCAGAACCUUGCACAUGCUAGGCAAGUGCUCUCCAACUGAGCUACAUUCUGAUGAGUCUGUCCUUCCUUCCUCUUCCUUCCUUCCCUCCCUCUCUCCCUCCCUCCCUCCCUCCCUUCCUUCCUUCCUUGACAAUGUCUUGCUAAAUUGUUCAGACUGGUCUCAAACUUGUCAUCCUCCUGCCUCAGCCUCCUGAGUAGCUGGGAUUAAAGGCAUGUAUCCCUGAGUCUGGCAGUUUUACAUGUUUUCUAUAAUGAGCAUGUAUUUCUUCAGUUAAAAAUGGUUUUUUAAGUAGCCUGCUGCAAAGGGAUGGAUCUUCUUUGAACUUGAAGGCUGGACUUUCUCUUCCUGAAUGUUAAGUGGAAUCCCAGGUCCCUUGCUGGGUCUUCUGGGCUCCAAUUCCACCACCCAUAAGGUUAAAUUCUCACCACUAAGAGUAGCUCUCCAGCCCUUCACACAGCCGAAAGCUCAGCACCAGGGACAAGCGCUCUGGCUUUAAGAAAGGAAGUGCUUUUCACUAUAGUGUUUUUCAGAAUUUUCUCAGAGAGUUGCUGGGCUUGUUUUAACAAGUCUCUUCUCUUCGGGUCCUAAUUUGGAUGAUUUUGGAAAACUGUGCCACAAGACCCCUCCCACCCUGCUACAGCUGAGUGACGCAGACCAUGGCUAUACCGCAGAGUCAGGGCAGGAAAUUACAUUCUAACUGUAGGUUUUUAUUCAGAAAUCCAGCAACCUCACCACAAGCUCGAGAGCCCUGGAACCUCAGUGCCCUGACCCACAAGAUCAAAGCUUCGAGUGGCAUCUCUCCAAGUGAACUUUUAACAAAUGUAGCGUUGCCAGUUAUUUUGACCUUCCAAAUACAUGGUCAUGCCAAAAUUAAGUUGAAACUCCAUUUUUUCCCUGCCAAAUCCACUCCCUGCUCUCCUCAGCACACCCUCAUGUGGGGGGAACAAGCCACUGAGGUUACAUUUUGAGGAAAGUUCUUUUGUGUUCUGUGAGAAGACCAUAUAUUAACACCAACUAUGUAUAAGUUUGUGUGUGUGUGUGUUGUUGUUUGUGUGUGUGUGUUGUUGUUGUUGUUGUUUUUGUACUGGGAUUGGAUCCAGGAGUGCUCUACUACUGAACUACAUCCCCAGCUCUUUUUAUUUUGAGACAGUCAAGCUAAAUUGCUGAGGCUGGCUUCAAACCUGUUAUCCUCCUGCCUCAGCCUCCAGAGGGAUUAAAGGCAUGUGCCACUGUGCCUGGUCACGUAUAAAUUUUGUGUAUAGUGUGAUGGAGCCAUUUUAAUUUAACUUGCUGUCUUUUCAGCAAAUAAAAAUGAAGAAAUGCAGGGAAGGAAGAACUUGUUUUUAACACAAGGUCCUGCAUGUGGUCGACCUCAGCAAAAGAGGCUUCUCUGGAACAAAUGAAAAACCAAGCCUGGCCUUGCCCCAGGACUCUGGAGAGAGCCUACAAGAAAAACUUUGUUAUUCUUUCUCCAUUCCUCUCCAUGACUCAGAUCCUACCUGUCCUUCAGACCCAGCCAAAAAAAAUACACAUAAAGUUUUC
rnacentral:lncRNA from 1 species